rnacentral:snRNA from 1 species
CAGUGUUACAGCUUUUAGAAUUUGUCUAGCAGGCUUUCUAGAAAACCUUC